ensembl:lncRNA
CAGUUACCAUCAGCUUCAGGAUAGUGGUGCCUGCUGCCUGGUCUAACUGCAGUUUAACACAUAACACCAAAGGCAGUUUAGUGUUACAACAUUAUUUCACAUACACUUGUGACACAUACUGUAGAUAGGAAACAAAGCAAGUAACUGUGUUACACCCAACAUUUGUUCUGAAAUGCUAUAUAAUGCCAUGGUUUUAGAAAAAUUACAAUACCACUAUAUGAGUAUAUAAGUUUUACAAAUCAUUAACAACUCAACUCUGACAUGUCAUUCCCAUAAAAAAAAUAUUUUGAGAUAAUAGUCAAUGUGAAAAAUGCCAGUGAGGAUGAAGGACUGUGUGGAAGGCACUUAAGGAGAGUGGGUGAGGCCACCUGGAUGACAGCGGUGGCAUUGGCAGCGGAGAAGACGGGAGGGUUGUCAUUCACGUCAGAAAUGUCCACGUUGAUGGUGACGGUGGAGGACAUGGCCGGCGAGCCGCUGUCAAACGCCUGCACAGCCAGCGAGUAGCUGGAGACCUUGGAGUGGGGACACGGCGAGACAAGACAAGGACAUUUAGAAACAAACAAACAUCAAAUAAAUAAAAAAUAAAAAAGGAAAUAUCAAAACAGGUGCUGUUAAAGUAGAGGAGACAGAACGGUGUCAAACAGGCGCUGAAACAGCACAGCUGCAUUGCAGUGUCAAAGCCCCAAAACACACAGGAGAGAGCUGCCCACUCAUACACAUCCACCAGUUAAAACACACAGGAGAGAGCUGCCCACUCAUACACAUCCACACAAGAGAGAGCUGCCCACUCAUACACAUCCACCAGUUAAAACACACAGUUCAUAUCAGAGGAUCUGCUACAUUUGUCAUUUGGGUGCAUUGCGGGUUAUACGUCAUCUUGUAGUAGAUUAUAGAUUCACUCAUACAUAUUUACCAGUUAAAACUAAUAUUUCACAUGAGAGUAUCUUCUAUAUUUGUCAUUUGAGUGCAUUAUGAGUUAUUGUAUAAUAUAAGCAUAUUCUAGUAGAUUGUAG